AUUGAACGCUGGCGGCAUGCCUUACACAUGCAAGUCGAACGGCAGCACGGGAGCAAUCCUGGUGGCGAGUGGCGAACGGGUGAGUAAUAUAUCGGAACGUGCCCAGUCGUGGGGGAUAACGCAGCGAAAGCUGUGCUAAUACCGCAUACGAUCUACGGAUGAAAGCGGGGGAUCGCAGGACCUCGCGCGAUUGGAGCGGCCGAUAUCAGAUUAGCUAGUUGGUGGGGUAAGAGCCCACCAAGGCGACGAUCUGUAGCUGGUCUGAGAGGACGACCAGCCACACUGGAACUGAGACACGGUCCAGACUCCUACGGGAGGCAGCAGUGGGGAAUUUUGGACAAUGGGCGCAAGCCUGAUCCAGCAAUGCCGCGUGCAGGAUGAAGGCCUUCGGGUUGUAAACUGCUUUUGUACGGAACGAAACGGCUCUUUCUAAUAAAGAGGGCUAAUGACGGUACCGUAAGAAUAAGCACCGGCUAACUACGUGCCAGCCGCCGCCGUAA
rnacentral:rRNA from 1 species